AGAUUGAACGCUGGCGGCAGGCCUAACACAUGCAAGUCGAGCGGAUGAAGGGAGCUUGCUCCUGGAUUCAGCGGCGGACGGGUGAGUAAUGCCUAGGAAUCUGCCUGGUAGUGGGGGAUAACGUCCGGAAACGGGCGCUAAUACCGCAUACGUCCUGAGGGAGAAAGUGGGGGAUCUUCGGACCUCACGCUAUCAGAUGAGCCUAGGUCGGAUUAGCUAGUUGGUGGGGUAAAGGCCUACCAAGGCGACGAUCCGUAACUGGUCUGAGAGGAUGAUCAGUCACACUGGAACUGAGACACGGUCCAGACUCCUACGGGAGGCAGCAGUGGGGAAUAUUGGACAAUGGGCGAAAGCCUGAUCCAGCCAUGCCGCGUGUGUGAAGAAGGUCUUCGGAUUGUAAAGCACUUUAAGUUGGGAGGAAGGGCAGUAAGUUAAUACCUUGCUG
rnacentral:rRNA from 1 species